UUUACUGUUUAUGUCCAAUGUUCGAUUAUCCAUUUUAUUUAAAAAAUAUUUAUAAUUAGUAUUUUUAUUGUUAUUAGAUGAUAAAACAUGAAUAACGCUUUAUACUUUAUGCAUGACUAAUUUUUUAAAAUAUUUUAUAAAAUUUUUCAAAUAAAACGAACAGUUAAAUAUUAUUGGAUACGGAAAUCCACGAUUAUACUUAAA
rnacentral:pre_miRNA from 1 species